rnacentral:rRNA from 1 species
CUCUUCCGAUCUGGGCGUACGGCGAAUGCCUGGCCACUUGGAACUGAAGAAGGACGCACCGAACGGCGAAACGCGACGGGGAGCGGUAAGGACGCAAAGAUCCGUCGAUAUCCGAAUGGGGGAACCCGGCAUCCGUCAUAGGAUGUCACCCAUACCUGAACACAUAGGGUAUGAGGGAGGAACGCGGGGAACUGAAACAUCUAAGUACCCGCAGGAAAAGAAAACAACAGUGAUUCCCUGAGUAGCGGCGAGCGAAAGGGGAGGAGCCCAAACCGAUCGAAGGAUCGGGGUUGAAGGACCACGGAAGUAACAAGAGAGAGGCUAGUGGAAAUGCAUGGGAAGGCAUACCGAAGAGGGUGAGAGUCCCGUAGACGAAAGCCGAUCGAAGCGAAGUGGGAUCCUGAGUACGGCAAGACACGAGGAAUCUGGUCGGAAGCAGGCGGGACCAUCCGUCAAGGCUAAAUAUUACCAAGUGAGCGAUAGUGAACGAGUACCGUGAGGGAAAGGUGAAAAGAACCGCGGGAGCGGAGUGAAAGAGAACCUGAAACCGUAUGCCUACAAGAAGUCAGAGCCCGUUAAGGGGUGAUGGCGUGCCUUUUGUAGAAUGAACCGGCGAGUUGCGAUACAGUGCGAGGUUAAGCAGGAGAUGCGGAGCCGAAGCGAAAGCGAGUCUGAAAAGGGCGGCAGUAGGGUAUCGCAGACCCGAAACCGGGUGAUCUAGCCAUGACCAGGUUGAAGUUCAGGUGAAACUGAAUGGAGGACCGAACCGACCACCGUUGAAAAGUUGGCGGAUGAGUUGUGGCUAGGGGAGAAAUUCCAAUCGAACCCGGAGAUAGCUGGUUCUCCCCGAAAUAGCUUUAGGGCUAGCGUCGGAGGAAGGGUCCUGGAGGUAGAGCACUGAAUGUACGAUGGCGCCAUCCCGGUGUACUGAGUAUAAUCAAACUGCGAAUGCCAGGGCAGAGGUAUCCGGCAGUCAGACUGUGGGUGAUAAGGUCCAUGGUCGAGAGGGAAACAGCCCAGACCGCCAGUUAAGGUCCCAAAAUGUAUGCUAAGUGGAAAAGGAUGUGGGGAUGCACAGACAACUAGGAGGUUGGCUCAGAAGCAGCCAUCCUUCAAAGAGUGCGUAACAGCUCACUAGUCGAGUGACCCUGCGCCGAAAAUGUACCGGGGCUAAGCAUACUACCGAAGCUGCGGAUUGUCAGUAAAUGAGAAUGGUAGGGGAGCGUUGCAUGCGAGGGGAAGCCAUACCGGAAGGAAUGGUGGAUCGCAUGGAAGUGAGAAUGCCGGUGUGAGUAGCGAGAUGCAGGUGAGAAUCCUGCACACCGAAAGCCCAAGGAUUCCAGGGGAAGGUUCGUCCGCCCUGGGUAAGUCGGGACCUAACGCGAGGCCGAAAGGCGUAGUGGAUGGAAAACAGGCAGAUAUUCCUGUACCCGUAUGGAGAGCGAUGGAGUGACGGAGAAGGCUAGUGUGACCCUAUGAAUGGAUUUAGGGCGAAGCGAAGCAGCAGGUGCAAGGUAAAAUGCGUGCACGGGAUGCAGAGCGUGACAGGUAAGCGAACGUUUCGGCAAGUAGCGAAGCACAUGAGGCCAGCUUCCAAGAAAAGCUUCUAGCGAUAAUGUCCAUGCGGCCCGUACCAAAACCGACACAGGUGGGCAAGGAGAGGAUCCUAAGGUGAGCGAGAGAACUGUUGCCAAGGAACUCGGCAAAAAGACUCCGUAAGUUCGCGAGAAGGAGUGCUCUUGAGAAAGAGCCGCAGCGAAGAGGCCCAAGCGACUGUUUAACUAAAACACAGCUCUCUGCGAAGUCGAAAGACGAAGUAUAGGGGGUGACGCCUGCCCGGUGCCGGAAGGUUAAGGGGAGUUGUCAGAGGCGACUCGAAGCAAUGAACCGAAGCCCCGGUGAACGGCGGCCGUAACAAUAACGGUCCUAAGGUAGCGAAAUUCCUUGUCGGGU